rnacentral:misc_RNA from 1 species
GGGGCUCAGAGGGUGAUGGAGAUGGUUUAGGUGGUGAUGGAGAUGGUUUAGGUCUUGAUGGAGCUGGACUUGAAGAAUAUGUAGCUUCUUUGGAUGGAGAUUGUGGCAGGCAAGAGGAAAAAGGAAGAUGCUUCUGGAAUAUGGGAAGAUAUAGGUACAUAAUUUCUGUAACUCUUUGAACUACUAGACACAUCAUAUAUUCUUUCCACUGAGUUAACAUAUGUGGAUCCAUUGUUUGCUGAAUUACUUGACCUUGAACUGAAUAUUGCCCAGAAAUCCCAUGAAGUGUUUACAUAAAAUGUUUCAUCAUCAUCUUCAACACAACAAAGAACACACCGCAGGAUUUCAAGAAACAAAGACAUGUAGGCCUUUUGAGACUCUCCAAACCGUGAGAAAUGAAAGAG